rnacentral:RNase_P_RNA from 1 species
UCAGCCGGCUGGACGGCCGCUCCUGCAAGUGCGGAAACGCCGCAGGGGAGGAAAGUCCGGGCUCCACGGAAAAACGGUGCCGGGUAACGCCCGGCGGGGGCGACCCCAGGGAAAGUGCCACAGAAAGCAAACCGCCGCGGCUGCGGCCGCGGUAAGGGUGAAAGGGUGGGGUAAGAGCCCACCGCGCGACCGGCAACGGAAGCGGCACGGUAAACCCCACCGGGAGCAAAACCGAAUAGGGGCGGCGCGGGUUCCGCAAGGGAUCCGGUCCUUUCCAGACCAGCCGCCCGGGUUGGUUGCGCGAGGCGUCCGGCAACGGGCGUCCCAGAUGAAUGGCCGUCACGUGCGGCAGCAAUGCCGCGCCAUACAAAACCCGGCUUACAGGCCGGCUGACAUU